rnacentral:rRNA from 1 species
GACGAACGCUGGCGGCGUGCUUAACACAUGCAAGUCGAACGGAAAGGCCCUGCUUUUGUGGGGUGCUCGAGUGGCGAACGGGUGAGUAACACGUGAGUAACCUGCCCUUGACUUUGGGAUAACUUCAGGAAACUGGGGCUAAUACCGGAUAGGAGCUCCUGCUGCAUGGUGGGGGUUGGAAAGUUUCGGCGGUUGGGGAUGGACUCGCGGCUUAUCAGCAUGUUGGUGGGGUAGUGGCUUACCAAGGCUUUGACGGGUAGCCGGCCUGAGAGGGUGACCGGCCACAUUGGGACUGAGAUACGGCCCAGACUCCUACGGGAGGCAGCAGUGGGGAAUAUUGCACAAUGGGCGGAAGCCUGAUGCAGCAACGCCGCGUGCGGGAUGACGGCCUUCGGGUUGUAAACCGCUUUCGCCUGUGACGAAGCGUGAGUGACGGUAAUGGGUAAAGAGGCACCGGCUAACUACGUG